rnacentral:tRNA from 1 species
GCCUGGGUGGCUCAGUCGGUUGAGCGUCUGACUCUUGAUUCUGGCUCGGGUCAUGAUCUCACGGUUUGUGGGUUCGAGCCCCACAUCUGGCU